GGAGAGGUGGCCGAGUCCGGUUGAUGGCGCACGACUCGAAAUCGUGUGAGGGCCCUAAACCAGUCCUCCGGGGGUUCGAAUCCCUCCCUCUCCGCCA
rnacentral:tRNA from 1 species